CUAAUCGUGUGGUUUGUUGAUGGUUGGGGUCGAGCACUCACCAAUAGUAAGGUGAGGUCACUUCCCCACCAUUUUGAGAUGUUGAGGGAGUGGUAGUUGUGACUGAUGGCUGUCGAGCCGUUAGUGUUUGUUGAUGGUUGGGGUCGAGCACUCACCAAUUGUAAGGUGAGGUCACUUCCCCACCAUUUUGAGAUGUCGAGAGAGUGGUAGU